rnacentral:rRNA from 1 species
GACGUAGGGCGCGAGCGUUGUCCGGAUUUAUUGGGCGUAAAGAGCUCGUAGGCGGCUUGUUGCGUCAGCUGUGAAAACCCGCAGCUCAACUGUGGGCUUGCAGCUGAUACGGGCAGGCCUGAGUUCGGUAGGGGAGACUGGAAUUCCUGGUGUAGCGGUGGAAUGCGCAGAUAUCAGGAGGAACACCGAUGGCGAAGGCAGGUCUCUGGGCCACUACUGACGCUGAGAAGCGAAAGCAUGGGGAGCGAACAGG